rfam:Camelus ferus unplaced genomic scaffold scaffold138, whole genome shotgun sequence.
GAGGGGAUAGCUCAGUGGUAGAGUGCACACUUAGUGGGCACAAGGUCCUGGGUUCAAUUCCCAGUACCUCCA